rnacentral:rRNA from 1 species
CAGUAGCCGCGGUAAAACGGAGGGUGCAAGCGUUAAUCGGAAUUACUGGGCGUAAAGCGCACGCAGGCGGUCUGUCAAGUCGGAUGUGAAAUCCCCGGGCUCAACCUGGGAACUGCAUUCGAAACUGGCAGGCUAGAGUCUUGUAGAGGGGGGUAGAAUUCCAGGUGUAGCGGUGAAAUGCGUAGAGAUCUGGAGGAAUACCGGUGGCGAAGGCGGCCCCCUGGACAAAGACUGACGCUCAGGUGCGAAAGCGUGGGGAGCAAACAGGAUUAGAUACCCCAGUAGUCCCUGUCUCUUAUAC